AUUGAUACAAAAGCACUUGCUAGUAGAUCUGUGGAGCAUAAAAGAGAGACUCAACCAGUGGAAUUAAGUGUGCAAGUUUCAUGGGCUAGUGAGAAUACUGGGCCUUUGCGCGGGUGGAAAUACAAAUUUCCUGGGCUAGUCUUGGACUCCGUCUCGCCAUUGAAGGUCUAACCUUAAACAAGCAACGACAAGUCCGAGUCCGAUCCACAAGUGAAGAA
rnacentral:lncRNA from 1 species